GACGAACCGUGCGAACGUUUGUUCGGAUUCACUGGGCUUAAAGGGCGCGUAGGCGGGCGGUCAAGUCGGGGGUGAAAUCUUUCAGCUUAACUGGAAAAGUGCCUCCGAUACUGAUCGCCUCGAGGGAGGUAGGGGCAUGUGGAACUUCCGGUGGAGCGGUGAAAUGCGUAGAUAUCGGAAGGAACGCCGGUGGCGAAAGCGACGUGCUGGACCUCUUCUGACGCUGAAGGCGCGAAAGCUAGGGGAGCAAACGGG
rnacentral:rRNA from 1 species